AUGAGUGUGACAUGAUACGCGGGAAAGUGGGUAAUGUAGUGUAAUUUUAAUCAAAUAUGUUAUUCGUUGUGAUUUCUGAUUGUCGUGGGCAAUCCAUAUAUGUUUAUAUCGAGCAAAUCUGAUUUUAGUGCCACUGUUCAAUACUUUGAACUCGGUUUCAAUCAAUACUUUAAAACUGUGCUGUCGUCUUCGUAGAGAAUAUUACAUUUUUUAAAACUCAAGAAAAAACCACAGGUCCCAGAAUGCAACAUUUUACGUCCGUAUGUGACGUCACUGCGGACGUGUGAAUGAGAUGUGGACGAAUGGGGAGGUGAAUAGACGCAGUAAAGAUGAGCGUUCUGAAGGAUCUCAAGUGCUUUACGGUGAGGGGGUUGGACACUCAUCUCAACCACCAACCAGUGUGUAGCAACCGUUUGGGUAAAGCAAGGCAGCCAUUUUGAACCGGAGCACUUACCACACGGCUGCUGCAGGUGAUCGCCCAUUGUGAGUGAGCCUCUGCUGCUGUCCAUGGUGCUGAAAGCCUCAGAUUUUGGAAGAUGGCUGGAAUUCCUAAUGGUGGCCAAAAGAGAAGGGGGAGCCCCUCCCCUCUUCCUCCCCAACCCAAACCGCCAUCACAUUUCCCUUAUUGCUUAAAGGUAAGCUGAUUUCGGGGGGUAAUGUUCCCCUUAAUUAAGAAUUAAUACGAGAACACGGUCCGCAAUAUGAACUGCCAACAUAAAGACAUGCUGUGCGGCUCUGGCUGUGAGUGACUUGCUGUAUGUGUUUGGGCAAAUUGCUGCGUUUCACAGAUGGAUGGUUGCCUGGGGGUCACUGUUAUGAAAUAAUCUUCAUAUGUGCUGCUGUGAAGCCUAGCUAACUCCAGUGCUCUAGCGCAGACACGUCCAGGCCGACAACUACGCACGCCGAGAGAGGAGCAGCAUGAUGUAACAUGCAACAGACAUUUGGCAUAUCGCGCUUACUCCACUGCCAGGCUUCAGAUCAGAACGGACUCAUUAAUUACACCGUUGAGAGUAUUUAUAUUUCCCUGUUUUUGUCAGAGGCGAGCGUGAUGAACUGUCCACCCAGAGGUUGUUAUUGUAAUUGGCAUUUUAAAAUGGCAAUUAGCACAACAACAAAAAAAAAAGUUAAAUUUGAGAUUGCAGUGCAAGACUCACGUUGCUUUCAAACAAGGUAAGUUGUCAUUUCACAAGAAUAUCAAUGAAACACUUGUGAUGCUACUUGUUGAUGCUUGCUUGCCUGUGCUUACGUGUCUUGUAUGUUCUUUUAUGCUGCUCGUAAUGCAUCUUGUUAAUGCUCAGUAGUUUUACUCACUUGUCUGUGCUUAUGUGUUUUGUAUGCUCUUUUAUGCUGCCUGUAAUGCUUCUUGUCAAUGUUUGCAUAUUUUUUUACUCAUUUGUCUGUGCUUAUGUGUUAUGUAUGUUCUUUUAUGUUCCUUAAACCAUCAACCUGCCCAGGGACUACAGAUGAAAAUUAGCCUGUAUGAGUAAAUGUGGCACAUUUACAUGAUGCAUCUAAGUUCUCAUGUUUAUUAAUGUGCACUGUCCCUUUCUUAAAUAAAAAAAAUAUCUGCCACUUCUAGAUGACUGGAUGAUUGCUGUCUUUCUUGGAGGCUCAUCUUGUUUGGUGUCCUCAGUGAAAUCCUGGAGAGCGAAGAUGGGCACUUUCUGACUCCUGCGGACCAAUAAAAUAAUCCCAUUCACUCCUGCAGACCAAUGAGAUAAUGCCACUGACUCCUGCUGACCAGUGAGAUAAUCCCAUUCACUCCUGCUGACCAAUGAGAUAAUCCCACUCACGCAUGCAAACCAAAGCCCUUCUGUUUCAGCCUGCCACGCCCAGCCCUGUGUCAAUGAACAGGAGAGACGCAACUUCCUGGAUCCUCUGUCCAUGCGAAAUACAGCAUUAUACACAGGAGGUCCAGGGAGCUGUGACAUGCGAGAAGGCAUCAGCAGUGAUUGGUUGCAGCCAUUGUCCUAUGAGCUGUCACAGGGGAGAUGCAUGCGCAUAAGACUCAUCCGAUGGAAAGACUGCAGCCAGCAGGAGGACUUACAAGCAACAACAAAAAAAGAAUCAUAGCUGACAACCCUUUCUUUCUUUGGAAGAGAGUGCAUGCUUGUUGCUCUUCUGAAAUUGGUGGAGGACAUUGCAUUGCAUUACAAGCAUUUAGAAGACGCUCUUAUCCAGAGUGACUUAUACAACUUCUGUAUAUUGCAUCCUUUUGUACAUACACAGUUCCUUACCCAUUAUACUACACUGCCACCCUAUCACACCAGUGAGGCGGGCCCAUGAAUGGAAAUUGACUUUUGAAAUUUGAAGGAAAUAGAUAAGUUAAGGUUGCAGAAUUGGCCCUUUGAGGAAAGGAUCACAGAAAAAAUAAGUUGAUCAAUUUCUCAUAAUCAGAGAGGGUAAGCAAUGCCCCCUAGUGGUUAAUAUUGUCCUGAAUUUAGCACAUGAUUGAACAUCAAAGCAAGAUAGAAAACAAGUCUUGGAAACACUGCCCUAGAAACAGUUGCAAGGUUGCUGAAAUUUAAAUAAAUUAAAUAGAAGCAUGCACAUGCAUUAGAGUUAAUGCAAAAUUAGGCUUACAGUAUGUUUAGGCAUAAGGGAAAGGUUAGUCCCUCAUGUGGUUGGCCAAAAUGUUUGUUAACUAUUUUGCUCACUUAACCUUAAGCCUAAUAUAUGAUUUUUCAUUUUUCAGUUAUAUAUCAAAAAUGACAUUCUUUUGUUAAAAAAUACUGAUAUUUGAGUUGACUGCUAGGGCUAAAACUAGAAUUUCUAGGAUUCGCAGUAGAAUCCUAUCUGGCCCACUGUUGCCCGGGUACUUUACAGCUGUUAGUCCGGCUGCUGGGUGUGUGUUGGUGUACAGACUGUUUGUUUCUAUGGUGAACAGGAUGGCUUCCUGUUGUAUUUUUAUAUUUUUUAUUUUGUUGAUAAAAUCAUAUGGGUCUUUGAUGUAGCUGGUGUGUUUUGUGGAUAGUGCACUGUGACAAUAAUGUGUGUAUUCAGCCAUCCCUGUAGGAUUCACUUUUGAAUUCAA